rnacentral:rRNA from 1 species
GAUGAACGCUGGCGGCGUGCCUAAUACAUGCAAGUCGAGCGAACGGACGAGAAGCUUGCUUCUCUGAUGUUAGCGGCGGACGGGUGAGUAACACGUGGAUAACCUACCUAUAAGACUGGGAUAACUUCGGGAAACCGUAGCUAAUACCGGAUAAUAUUUUGAACCGCAUGGUUCAAAAGUGAAAGACGGUCUUGCUGUCACUUAUAGCUGGAUCCGCGCUGCAUUAGCUAGUUGGUAAGGUAACGGCUUACCAAGGCAACGAUGCAUAGCCGACCUGAGAGGGUGAUCGGCCACACUGGAACUGAGACACGGUCCAGACUCCUACGGGAGGCAGCAGUAGGGAAUCUUGCGCAAUGGGCGAAAGCCUGACGGAGCAACGCCGCGUGAGUGAUGAAGGUCUUCGGAUCGUAAAACUCUGUUAUUAGGGAAGAACAUAUGUGUAAGUAACUGUGCACAUCUUGACGGUACCUAAUCAGAAAGCCACGGCUAACUACGUG